rnacentral:rRNA from 1 species
GACGAACCGAGCGAACGUUGUUCGGAAUCACUUGGGCUUAAAGGGCGCGUGAGGCGGGUGCUCGAAGUCCGGGGAUGAAAUCCUCCAGCUCAACUGGAGAACUGCCUCGGAUACUGGGCGUCUCGAGUGUGGUAGGGGUAUGCGGAACUAUCGGUGGAGCGGUGAAAUGCGUUGAUAUCGAUAGGAACUCCGGUGGCGAAGGCGGCAUACUGGACCACCACUGACGCUGAUGCGCGAAAGCCAGGGGAGCAAACGGG